rnacentral:rRNA from 1 species
GACGAACGCUGGCGGCGUGCCUAAUACAUGCAAGUAGGACGCAGUUGCGAACGGGUGAGUAACGCGUAGGUAACUGCCUAUUAGAGGGGGAUAACUAUUGGAAACGAUAGCUAAUACCGCAUACUAGUAGAUGGACCUGCGUUGUAUUAGCUAGUAGGUAGGGUAAUGGCCUUCCUAGGCAACGAUACCUCGCCGACCCGGGAAGGAGAACGGCCAAACUUGGACCUGAGCACGGCCCAGACUCCUACGGGAGGCAGCAAGAGGGGAACUUCGGAAAUUGGGGGAAGACUGACCGCACAACGCCGCGUGGGUGGAUAAAGGUCUCGGAUCGUAAAACUCUGUUGAUAAGGAAGCGGUACGUAACCAAGAAGGGACGGCUAACUACGAGCCAGCAGCCGCGGUAAUUC